GGAGUUGGGAUGCUGAUUAAGUUGCCUCAGCUAGGGAGGAGCUAGAAUCUUGCCAAAAGGUUUUCAAGGCUGAUAGGCAUUUAAAAGUGAAAGCAGAGUAGAGUCUGCUUGGGAUUCAUGAGCGGAGCUAUGAAGUAGAUUGACAGAUGUCAGUCUUGCUCCAUAUGCUUCCAUGUUAAGAGCUGAGCAUACCAGGACAUUGAAAAGAAAGAUUAUUUCACACAGUAUCAUAUCACCUACUUAUUCCUGCCUCCAGGAUCUUGCCUUGACUUCCUGCCCUGACUUCCCUUCAUGCUGGACUGCGGCUGGCGUAAAGCUUACACAUGGCGGUGGGGCUCAAGGAGGAGCCAGAAAAGGAAGACAGGAGGACUCCAGGGGCCAGCCACCCAGUUACACAGCAAGCUACGGAAUAAGAAGUAAAAAAAGAUACUAUCCCUACACUGUCCUUAAGAUGACCCCUUUUGGAAUUGUCCCUGACCCUUCAGAAUCCAGACCCUCCAGUCUGAAUGACUUUAGCUUUCAUCAGGUGCCUUGGUGCCCAGCCACCCUGGCUGCGAUGGAAUAAAUGGGACACAUAUGUCACUUGGAACCUCAUGAGUCUCUUCAGCCUCCAUUCUGUCCCUGCAUCUGGAAUCAGACCACAUGGAAAGCUUCUCUCGAGAAUCAAUAGAAUCAAUAGAAAAACCUUUCUUCCCAUGGACUCCCACAGGAAUGAAAAGCAAUAGCAAAAAAACUUCACAUUUUGUGACGUUUUGUGACACUUCUUGCAGAGUGAGCCUUUAACCACCUUUUUGCCUGACUGGUUCCUCCUGAAAAGAACAUGUGGGAAUUGUUAAUACUUCCUUGCUUGACAGACAUGAAAUGCCAAUAUUUGCAUGCAUUAAAAAUCCCCCUGGCCUGUCUGACCUCUGGGCUCCUAAAACUCGUUUUUUAUCAUGUUGGUUUUGGAUAUUAAUGCAAAAUCAUCCCAAAUACCCUAGCUUCAAAAACCAUGAACAGAAAUGGAGCCGCUCUUUUUAGCUCUUUUAGUGUGGGAUAUCAUGUAAGAGAACUCAGAAGGCUUAAAGAGGUAGCACUCAACCGUUCUUCACAUGCUCACAUGCAUGUCACUCAUGUAAUAAAUGUGACCCACAUGUAUCUGGUGUGCAAGGAUCCCAAAAGUCACCCUAAAGGGUCUCCUAUGGCUUAGAGCAAGGACACACCUGUAGCGGUUUAUCCUUUGGACUCCAUAGGAAACCAAACAGUCUAAGUUCAAUGCAGAAGUUUGUUAAAUGAUAAGUUAGCAUGUAGAUACAAUGUAGAAUUCCUUGGCUUCCUUGGAGUUCUGGCUCCAUAAAUUUGUAUGCUCCACACUAGCCGUGUGUGUGUGUGUGUGUGUGUGUGUGUGUGUGUGUGUGUGUGAAACAGAGAGCAAGAGAAAGGGGACAGAGAGCGAGGGAGGGAGAGAGACAGAGACAGAGAGACAUAGACAAAGAGGGAGAAAGUUCAUUUUUGACCCAUGAGUUUCAGGUCUAUGUAUUGGACACUUGUCUCCUGAAUAUUUUACACUCACUUGAAAAUCAAUUUAUGCAAAAAUAAACUCACCUUUGACCUUUCCUAGUUAGCUUUUAGCUCAGUGCCUAAGCUGGAAUCUUGAACAUCUGGGGCUUCCUUCUCACGUUUGCUCACCUCAGUCCCUAUCAGUCACGAAGCCCUGUUGCUUCUAUCUCCAAAGGCAGCUGGGACCCGCGUGUUUUUCUCCAGCUCCCCCCUCACUUCAUAAAGCCCACUACUCUCACUAUCUGGGCUGCAGCAGCAGUGGCUUCUGCCAGGCUGCCUGACUCCAGCCUUACCCUUCAAUUCAGCCUUUCCUGAAGCCAGAGUUUUCCCUCUACAGCUUAUGUCUUCUGACAUGGUUGAUGUUGACUCUCAACUUGACAGAAUAUAAAACCACUAGGGGAUGACCCUUGAGUAUGUCUAUGAAGGGAUUUAGAUUAGGUUCACAGAAGUGGGGAGACCCACUCUAAAUGUGGUUACAUCAUCCCAGUGCUAGGGUCCCAGUCUAAAUGAAGGGGGAAAGGGAGCCGAGCAGCAGCGCUCACGAUCCCUGCUCCCUGACGGUGACUGUGUGACCACCCACCUCAUUUUUACCAUCAUUCCUUCCUGACUAUAAUGGACUGCACCUUCAAAAUGUGAGCAGAAUCUGUUGGGUGUUUUAUCAUAUCAACAAAACAAGUAUCUACAUUUUCUCUCCUUGGAACCAUUUUAUGGUCCUCCAAUUCCCAUCUAGACCAUUUCCAAGCUACUUCAGCCCAUUUGAUUCUCUCUCAGACACAUCCAGUCUCUUUCUUCAUGCUUUCCCUCACAUCCUGCACUCCGGCUAUGCUGAGCCCUGUUUCUCGUGUCUGCAGGUCUCUGUGCAGGAUCUUGCAGACAGACACAAGCCCGAGAGCUACUGAACUCUGAAUAGAGACAAUGCCAGGCUUCUCAGAUGACGCCUCUGUAGUGUGAACUGCUGUCAGUCACUCUCCCUUGGCACCAGGCCCAAACCCUGUGAGCAUCUUCCCUUGGAUGUUUGACAGGUGUGAUGGUUUAUUUUGACUGUCCACUUGACAGGAUCUAGAAUCACCGUGGAGACAAAUCUCUGGAUAUGUGUGUUAGGGAAUAUCUAGAUGAGGUUAGUUGAGGGUGGAAAGGCAGGAUCCUGGACUGCUAAUAAGGAGAGAGUAAGCAGAGUGCGGGCAUUUGUCGCUGUUUCCUGACUAGGUGCAAUGUGACCAGCUGCCUUCUAUUCCCAAAGCCAUGAUGGACUAUAUCCUCAAAAUGUUAGCCAAAAUAACCCUUCCCUCCUUCCUUGAACUUCUUUUGUCCUGUGUUUUGUUUCGGGCACAACAAGUGUCUCAGAAUUAGCCAUGCCCCCAACUUAGGCCAUAUGCUCAUGAAGUUCUUAACACUCAGCACAAGUCACACAUUUUAUUUGGUUUCCUGUCUGUCUUCCUCAUUGGAAAUGAGAGUCAUUUAUACAUUUUUGUUUGUUCAAUGGUGAAUUUCUUAGUGCCUCAUACAUCCCUGACACAGACAGAAUAUUCAGUAAACGUUGCUGAAUGAAUAAACAUUUCUAUAUUGAUAGAGUAAAUAGAGAUUGCACCUUACCCAGAAUUCCCCAGGCUGGGGAGCCAAGGUAUAGCAGAGAGAUCACAGACUUGCCUAGAGCAACAUAUUUAAUCUGUGAGCCAUUCUUCUCUCUUGGCAAAAUGAAAAUAAGACAGAUUACAAGGUGGUAUGGGUUAAUGGCUAGAAUUUGCCUUAACUAUACUAUGACUGGUGCCUAACACACAUGGUUUUCUUCCUAGUUCCUGAUUCCAUGGAAACAUUAAAAUUUUGAUAACGUUAUCAAGCUUUAUCCAAAGCAGAUUUCACAUGAAGCAACUAGAGCAUUAAUAUGAAGUGGGAAUGAGGUAGAGGUCAAGGGUAAAGAAAACCCACCUCCUCCAAAGGCCCAGGGAUCACUAUGGAAGAGGGGGUAGAAGGAUUGUAAGAGUCAAAGGAAGUGUAUGUCUGUAGUGAAACUGUGUUUUCCAGACAUAUCCAUUGCACAUAUAUGAACUCACAGUGGCUGUGACUGCAUGCACAAGACCUGCAUAACACCAAGCCAGUCAAAAUCCCCACGGGUUAGGGAGGGACUCAUGAAGCCACAUAUGCAUCUAAGAAGCUACUGGGAAUUGAUGACUGGCGGAGGAAAGAAAGUCUGUUUUCUCCAGAGAUGCCACCCCUGAGAGGCUACCCAUGGUCCAGUAGAUGAUCAUUUACCCAUGGACACACAGGUCUCAGAGGAGAGAGAAAGAGAGAGAGAGAGAGAGAGAGAGAGAGAGAGAGAGCAUGCAAGUGGAAAAAAGGAAUCUGUGCUCUGUAAGGAGCUCAUCUUAUUCAGAGUGCUUGCUAUGCCUAUCCCUGAAAGACAGCGGCCCAAGGUAUGAUCUUUGAAAUAAUUGGAGAUAUGGACUCUCCUUGUCACUUAUUUCUCCCAAAUCACUGCAAAGCAUUUAUCCAAGGCAUUGUUUAUUGAGCCUGGAGUAUUAUGAUCUGCCCUCUUUCAUAAUGCCCAACAGCUGCACCCUUAUUCAUAUGGUCUGUCUGUGCAGCAUGGUCGACUGUCUUUUGGUGGGAUUGGGGUGGGAAGCAAGUUGACACUGAAGAUCUGGAUCAUGCUAGAUGCCCAAAGUUUCUGCUUAAAAGAAAUGAAAAUGCAGGUCUUUCUCAAUGCUUAUGAUGGUCAGAGCAAAAUAAAAUACAGUCCCCUUUGUGAUAUGAACUUGCUCAGGCAACCUAUGAUGCUGGUUUUGUAGCUACAUUGGAAGGGCACAGGGGUUGUUGGCAUUUCCCUGUCUCAAAGGAACUGGGGGUGCUGGACAUGGAAGAAAGUACACACCAACCACAGGAGAACUAUAGCUGAAUACAGUUAAUUCAAUUCUUCACAGUUGUUUCUUUUGAAGAUGAGGUAAAUGAAGCACAGAGAAACAAAAUCAGGUGUCUCAAAAAGAACCGUGUCCCAGAUGCAUGCCCUUUGUCCAUGAAUCCUCACUUCUUGACACUCAGCACAGCUCACAUGCUGGAUAUCUUACCCAGUGUUACCUGGGUGUUUGGCCUACAGUCAAGUGCUGAUAAAGAACAGAUAAAUCACUCGCAUCCCAAUCUGUCUACUACAGUGUUUCUAAGCCAGGAAAGGCAGGUCCACAGAGGCCAAGGCACUUCAAUUUUCAAUGAAAUCUUAAAGAUUUUCUCUACAAUCAGAUUUAAAUGACCAUAAGAAGGCCAUCACUUCAUAACUGAGACAAUGCCCACAAAAGUACGCUGCAAAUUGUAAAAUACUCCUGAAAUCCAGGUCAAUGGCUGGUUAAAUUAGUUCAGCUAAAUAAGACGGUAUGACCAGAUGGAUGUGUCAGGAUCAAAUAUCACAUUUGGACAGCUACAGAACAGAGCUCAGCAAUUCUACCUGCAUUGUCAGCUGCUCCAUGGACUCUUGUUCCUGGUUUCAAGAAUGACAACACAUUGUCCAUAAAAUUGAGCAAGGAAGGUGUACAGGAAAAAAUGGUUUGUACAUGGGGUUUCUCUAAGGCUUUAUUAUUACGAUGCUAAAAAUAAAAUUAUUGUCAAACACAGGGAGAAUAGAGCAAAGAAACGAAAAACUGAGAAUUACCUGUAAAAAUAUCCUCAGAGGGGCUAGUGGAGUUGUUCAGUGCAAGUAACUUCCUAGCGUGCUUAAGGCACAGGGUUGGAUGGCUGGGAUAACAAAACAAACCUAACCUUGGAAAUAAAUACAGCCAGAAUGACAGUGCAUUGAAAGACUAAAUUCAACAAGAACACCCAAUGUUUCAAAGCUCUUAGUCAGACUUGCAGGUGUAGACAUAUUGUUGCAGCUAUCUGGGAGGCUGAGGCAGUGUGGUGUAGCCUUAUCAGCCAUGGUGUCUGGACAUACACUGGAUUCUCAGGGUGCUCUUUUCCCAACAGGCAGGAGGCUUAUGAGUUCAAGGCCUGGCUGGGCAACUUAAUGGGACACUGUUGCAGAUUUUUCUCAAAAUAAAAA
ensembl:lincRNA